rnacentral:rRNA from 1 species
AGCGAACGCUGGCGGCAAGCUUAACACAUGCAAGUCGAACGCCCCGCAAGGGGAGUGGCGGACGGGUGUAUAACACGUGGGAAUCUACCUUUCAGUGCAGGAUAACUCAGGGAAACUUGAGCUAAUACUGCAUAAUGUCUCCGGACCAAAGAUUUAUGCGCUGAAAGAUGAGCCCGCGGCUGAUUAGCCAGUUGGUAGGGUAAUGGCCUACCAAGGCGACGAUCAGUAGCUGGUCUGAGAGGAUGAUCAGCCACACUGGGACAGAGACACGGCCGAGACUCCUAGGGGAGGCAGCGGUGGGAAAUAUUGGACAAUGGGGGAACCCCUGAUCAGGCUAUGCCGGGUGAGUGAUGAAGGCCUUCGGGUUGUAAAUCUCUUUAGUCGGGGACGAUAAUGACGGUACCCGAAGAAUAAGCUCCGGAAAACUUCGUGCCAGCAGCCGCGGUAA